GUUAAAAAGCUCGUAGUUGGAUCUCGGCGGGCAGGGGGUGGUUCGCUCUUCAGCGCUACUGCCCCGCUUUGCCCGUGUGAUUGGCGGAGGUUUCGGGGUGCUCUUCGUUGAGUGACUCGGAGCGCCGUCAGGUUUACUUUGAAAAAAUUAGAGUGCUCAAAGCAGGCUUUUCACGCUUGAAUAUUCGUGCAUGGAAUAAUGGAAUAGGAACUCGUUUCUAUUUUGUUGGUUUUCGGAAAUCGAGUUAAUGAUUAGCAGGGACAAUUGGGGGCAUUAGUAUUCAGACGACAGAGGUGAAAUUCUUGGACCGUCUGAAGACUGACUACUGCGAAAGCAUUUGCCAAGAAUGUUUUCAUUAAUCAAGAACGAAAGUUAGAGGUUCGAAGGCGAUCAGAUACCGCCCUAGUUCUAACCAUAAACGAUGCCAGCUAGCGAUCUGCCGAGUUUUUUUUGUAGGCUCCGCAGGAAGCUUUCGGGAAACCAAAGCUUUUGGGUUCCGGGGG
rnacentral:rRNA from 1 species